CAGUUCAGAUUGCAGUCUGCAACUCGACUGCAUGAAGUCGGAAUCGCUAGUAAUCGCGGAUCAGCAUGCCGCGGUGAAUACGUUCCCGGGCCUUGUACACACCGCCCGUCACACCAUGAGAGUCGGGAACACCCGAAGUCCGUAGCCUAACCGCAAGGGGGGCGCGGCCGAAGGUGGGUUCGAUAAUUGGGGUGAAGUCGUAACAAGGUAGC
rnacentral:rRNA from 1 species